rnacentral:rRNA from 1 species
AUUUAGAGGAAGGAGAAGUCGUAACAAGGUUUCYGUAGGUGAACMUGCGGAAGGAUCAUUGUCGA